rnacentral:rRNA from 1 species
AGAGUUUGAUCCUGGCUCAGAACGAACGCUGGCGGCAGGCUUAACACAUGCAAGUCGAGCGCCCCGCAAGGGGAGCGGCAGACGGGUGAGUAACACGUGGGAACGUACCCCCCGGUUCGGAAUAACUCAGGGAAACUUGUGCUAAUACCGGAUACGGCUGAGAGGCGAAGGAUUUAUCGCCGGGGGAUCGGCCCGCGUUCGAUUAGGUAGUUGGUGGGGUAACGGCCCACCAAGCCUGUGAUCCGUAGCUGGUCUGAGAGGAUGAUCAGCCACACUGGGACUGAGAGACGGCCCAGACUCCUACGGGAGGCAGCAGUGGGGAAUAUUGGACAAUGGGGGCAACCCUGAUCCAGCAAUGCCGCGUGAGUGAUGAAGGCCUUAGGGUUGUAAAGCUCUUUCGCCCGCGACGAUGAUGACGGUAGCGGGAGAAGAAGC